rnacentral:rRNA from 1 species
UCAGUAGGACUACCCGCUGAACUUAAGCAUAUCAUAAGCGGAGGA